AUAACUCUCUCAUCUGGAGUCAAUUUUAGGUGAAUGACUACUUGUUGGAGAGAUAAUUUGAUGAACUUGGCAAUGGAGCAGAAGUUUGGUACAUGUUCAGUUCUGGACGCAGAGGAAAUCGAUGAAGAAGAGGCAGGAGCGAAAAAUGAAGAAGAAGGAGAUGAUGAUGUGAGAGAAAAUAGCUUGGGCAAGUUUUCUAUUAAGCCUAGAUGAUCACCUAUCUAAAUAUAUGUGUUCCAUCCCUCUUCCUCUCCAACAUUUAUUUUCCAUGGUCUUUUUGACAAGUCUCAGUAAUUCCAAUAGAUC
rnacentral:lncRNA from 1 species